rnacentral:rRNA from 1 species
AGUGAACGCUGGCGGUAGGCCUAACACAUGCAAGUCGAACGGCAGCACAGUAAGAGCUUGCUCUUACGGGUGGCGAGUGGCGGACGGGUGAGGAAUACAUCGGAAUCUACUUUUUCGUGGGGGAUAACGUAGGGAAACUUACGCUAAUAUCGCAUACGACCUACGGGUGAACGCAGGGGAUCUUCGGACCUUGCGCGAGUGAAUGCGCCGAUGUCGGAUUAGCUAGUUGGGGGGGUAAAGGCCAACCAAGGCGACGAUCCGUAGCUGGUCUGAGAGGAUGAUCAGCCACACUGGAACUGAGACACGGUCCAGACUCCUACGGUAGGCAGCAGUGGGGAAUAUGGGACAAUGGGCGCAAGCCUGAUCCAGCCAUACCGCGUGGGUGAAGAAGGCCUUCGGGUUGUAAAGCCCUUUUGUUGGGAAAGAAAAGCAGCAGGUUAAUACCCCGCUGUUCUGACGGUACCCAAAGAAUAAGCACCGGCUAACUUCGUG